rnacentral:rRNA from 1 species
CCUACGGGUGGCUGCAGUGGGGAAUAUUGGACAAUGGGCGAAAGCCUGAUCCAGCCAUGCCGCGUGUGUGAAGAAGGCCUUCGGGUUGUAAAGCACUUUCAGUGGGGAAGAAAGCCUUGGGGCUAAUACCCUCGAGGAAGGACAUCACCCACAGAAGAAGCACCGGCUAACUCCGUGCCAGCAGCCGCGGUAAUACGGAGGGUGCGAGCGUUAAUCGGAAUUACUGGGCGUAAAGCGCGCGUAGGCGGUCUGAUAAGCCGGUUGUGAAAGCCCCGGGCUCAACCUGGGAACGGCAUCCGGAACUGUCAGGCUAGAGUGCAGGAGAGGAAGGUAGAAUUCCCGGUGUAGCGGUGAAAUGCGUAGAGAUCGGGAGGAAUACCAGUGGCGAAGGCGGCCUUCUGGACUGACACUGACGCUGAGGUGCGAAAGCGUGGGUAGUAAACAGGAUUAGAUACCCGAGUAGUC